ensembl:snRNA U6 U6 spliceosomal RNA
GUUUUCUUACUUUGGAAACACAUAUACUAAAAUCAGAAUGAGACAGAGACUAACAUUCCUCCUGCCCAAGGAUGAGAUAGAAAUGCGCGAAGCAUUCCAUGUUGAA